rnacentral:rRNA from 1 species
UCCACAGCUUCGGUAAUAUGUUUAGCCCCGGUACAUUUUACCGAAGCUGUGGAUUGUCCUUUGGACAAUGGUAGGAGAGCGUUCUAAGGGCGUUGAAGCAUGAUCGUAAGGACAUGUGGAGCGCUUAGAAGUGAGAAUGCCGGUGUGAGUAGCGAAAGACGGGUGAGAAUCCCGUCCACCGAUUGACUAAGGUUUCCAGAGGAAGGCUCGUCCGCUCUGGGUUAGUCGGGUCCUAAGCUGAGGCCGACAGGCGUAGGCGAUGGAUAACAGGUUGAUAUUCCUGUACCACCUAUAAUCGUUUUAAUCGAUGGGGGGGGACGCAGUAGGAUAGGCGAAGCGUGCGAUUGGAUUGCACGUCUAAGCAGUAAGGCUGAGUAUUAGGCAAAUCCGGUACUCGUUAAGGCUGAGCUGUGAUGGGGAGAAGACAUUGUGUCUUCGAGUCGUUGAUUUCACACUGCCGAGAAAAGCCUCUAGAUAGAAAAUAGGUGCCCGUACCGCAAACCGACACAGGUAGUCAAGAUGAGAAUUCUAAGGUGAGCGAGCGAACUCUCGUUAAGGAACUCGGCAAAAUGACCCCGUAACUUCGGGAGAAGGGGUGCUCUUUAGGGUUAACGCCCAGAAGAGCCGCAGUGAAUAGGCCCAAGCGACUGUUUAUCAAAAACACAGGUCUCUGCUAAACCGUAAGGUGAUGUAUAGGGGCUGACGCCUGCCCGGUGCUGGAAGGUUAAGAGGAGUGGUUAGCUUCUGCGAAGCUACGAAUCGAAGCCCCAGUAAACGGCGGCCGUAACUAUAACGGUCCUAAGGUAGCGAAAUUCCUUGUCGGGUAAGUUCCGACCCGCACGAAAGGCGUAACGAUUUGGGCACUGUCUCAACGAGAGACUCGGUGAAAUCAUAGUACCUGUGAAGAUGCAGGUUACCCGCGACAGGACGGAAAGACCCCGUGGAGCUUUACUGUAGCCUGAUAUUGAAAUUCGGCACAGCUUGUACAGGAUAGGUAGGAGCCUUUGAAACGUGAGCGCUAGCUUACGUGGAGGCGCUGGUGGGAUACUACCCUAGCUGUGUUGGCUUUCUAACCCGCACCACUUAUCGUGGUGGGAGACAGUGUCAGGCGGGCAGUUUGACUGGGGCGGUCGCCUCCUAAAAGGUAACGGAGGCGCUCAAAGGUUCCCUCAGAAUGGUUGGAAAUCAUUCAUAGAGUGUAAAGGCAUAAGGGAGCUUGACUGCGAGACCUACAAGUCGAGCAGGGUCGAAAGACGGACUUAGUGAUCCGGUGGUUCCGCAUGGAAGGGCCAUCGCUCAACGGAUAAAAGCUACCCCGGGGAUAACAGGCUUAUCUCCCCCAAGAGUUCACAUCGACGGGGAGGUUUGGCACCUCGAUGUCGGCUCAUCGCAUCCUGGGGCUGUAGUCGGUCCCAAGGGUUGGGCUGUUCGCCCAUUAAAGCGGUACGCGAGCUGGGUUCAGAACGUCGUGAGACAGUUCGGUCCCUAUCCGUCGUGGGCGUAGGAAAUUUGAGAGGAGCUGUCCUUAGUACGAGAGGACCGGGAUGGACAUACCUCUGGUGUACCAGUUGUCGUGCCAACGGCAUAGCUGGGUAGCUAUGUGUGGACGGGAUAAGUGCUGAAAGCAUCUAAGCAUGAAGCCCCCCUCAAGAUGAGAUUUCCCAACUUCGGUUAUAAGAUCCCUCAAAGAUGAUGAGGUUAAUAGGUUCGAGGUGGAAGCAUGGUGACAUGUGGAGCUGACGAAUACUAAUCGAUCGAAGACUUAAUCAA